rnacentral:rRNA from 1 species
CUGAGACACGGCCCAGACUCCUACGGGAGGCAGCAGUGGGGAAUAUUGCACAAUGGGCGCAAGCCUGAUGCAGCAACGCCGCGUGAGGGACGACGGCCUUCGGGUUGUAAACCUCUUUUAGUAGGGAAGAAGCGAAAGUGACGGUACCUGCAGAAAAAGCACCGGCUAAUUACGUGCCAGCAGCCGCGGUAAUACGUAGGGUGCAAGCGUUGUCCGGAAUUAUUGGGCGUAAAGAGCUCGUAGGCGGUCUGUCGCGUCUGCUGUGAAAACCCGAGGCUCAACCUCGGGCCUGCAGUGGGUACGGGCAGACUAGAGUGCGGUAGGGGAGAUUGGAAUUCCUGGUGUAGCGGUGGAAUGCGCAGAUAUCAGGAGGAACACCGAUGGCGAAGGCAGAUCUCUGGGCCGUAACUGACGCUGAGGAGCGAAAGCGUGGGGAGCGAACAGGAUUAGAUACCCUGGUAGUCCACGCCGUAAACGUUGGGCGCUAGAUGUGGGGACCAUUCCACGGUUUCCGUGUCGCAGCUAACGCAUUAAGCGCCCCGCCUGGGGAGUACGGCCGCAAGGCUAAAACUCAAAGGAAUUGACGGGGGCCCGCACAAGCGGCGGAGCAUGCGGAUUAAUUCGAUGCAACGCGAAGAACCUUACCAACA